rnacentral:rRNA from 1 species
AUUGAACGCUGGCGGCAGGCCUAACACAUGCAAGUCGAGCGGAUGAAGGGAGCUUGCUCCUGGAUUCAGCGGCGGACGGGUGAGUAAUGCCUAGGAAUCUGCCUGGUAGUGGGGGAUAACGUCCGGAAACGGGCGCUAAUACCGCAUACGUCCUGAGGGAGAAAGUGGGGGAUCUUCGGACCUCACGCUAUCAGAUGAGCCUAGGUCGGAUUAGCUAGUUGGUGGGGUAAAGGCCUACCAAGGCGACGAUCCGUAACUGGUCUGAGAGGAUGAUCAGUCACACUGGAACUGAGACACGGCCCAGACUCCUACGCGAGGCCGCAGUGGGGAAUAUUGGACGAUGGGCGAAAGCCUGAUCCAGCCAUGCCGCGUGUGUGAAGAAGGUCUUCGGAUUGUAAAGCACUUUAGGUUGUGAGGAAGGGCAGUAAGUUAAUACCUUGCUGUUUUGACGUUACCAACAGAAUAAGCACCGGCUAACUUCGUG